UACGUAGGGGGCAAGCGUUGUCCGGAUUUAUUGGGCGUAAAGAGCGUGUAGGCGGCCUGACAGGUCUGCUGUGAAAACUCGAGGCUCAACCUCGAGAUGUCGGCGGAAACCGUCUGGCUAGAGUCCGGAAGAGGAGAGUGGAAUUCCUGGUGUAGCGGUGAAAUGCGCAGAUAUCAGGAAGAACACCUAUGGCGAAGGCAGCUCUCUGGGGCGGUACUGACGCUGAGACGCGAAAGCGUGGGGAGCGAACAGG
rnacentral:rRNA from 1 species